AGUUCGAGAUGUAACCGCAUGGGGUAGGAAGCCGGGAACUAUUCUCCGAAUUAUACCAGACAUUGGAUGCCUUGAAACUGAAGAUUCAGAUAGUUGUGCAACACCACGUAUGUAGGUGCUGAGAACUGAACCUGGAUCCUCUGCAACAGGAACAGUGCAUUGGUGUGAGGGUGUUGGGUCCCUGGAACUGGAGUUACAGUUGG